GUCUCAGGCCGUAUCAGACCUGAAGGCGCCCGAUCUCGUCUGAUCUCGGAAGCUAAGCAGGGUCGGGCCUGGUUAGGAUCUUGGAUGGGAGACCACCUGGGAAUCCCGGGUGCUCGAGGCU
rnacentral:rRNA from 1 species